rnacentral:lncRNA from 1 species
GGUCUCCGGUGAGUGUGUGAAUACUUAGCUAAUCACAAUAUUGUCAGAACUAGAAAAACAUCAUGGCACUUCACUGGGAUACCUAGCAUGUUACUGGUAUCCUUUCUAGAAGUGUCCACUGAUGCCUGAAGCAGAAGGUGUUCUGGUGUGGAACAGAACGGGAAUGAGCGGCUGAGCAAACCGGGAAGGCCAAGCUCUUAAAGCUUUGCUGAGUAGCAUGGUCAGCAAAGGAAGAUAACCAGAAAACCCCAAGGAAACAGCUCAUCUUCCCCACCCUGCAUCUUUGUUGCCUGUUUGAUGCUGAUGAAAUUCCAACAGCCUUUGGAGGGAGUAUUACACAAUGUGCAAACAUCACAGACAUUUACCAAAGAUCACAUCCCAGGACUUAAAACAAAAUACAAGAAAAAAAGCAAUUUCUCCCAACUGGGUUCCCAAAGGACCAAAAAGCAUUUUAAACGUGUCCAGUAAGACAUUAAAGAUAAUCAUCCUGGACAGAAGUCAGCCCCUUGGCUGUUUUAAUGUACUUUUGUCGACAAACAAGGGCAGUUUUCAAAACCACUGCCUUGGCUGACUUUGGAAGGUCCCUAGAAUAAAAGUACUUGGUGACCUCAGAAUUACUGGGCAAGAGUGACCAAAGCUGUGGAUGAAGCUGGAAAAGAAAAAAAAAAAUCUGAUGAUGUUUGAUGUCAAAACUAAAAUAUUACCAUGAUCAAGACAUGUUUCUAAGCUGGAGUUUAUAAACAGAAACAACCCUACUGGGAAAUUCAGCAAUCCUCUUUAAAAGAGUGUUCGGAUUUUUCCAAGUACGUAUAAACUCCUAUGUGUCUCAGAUGGCUCUCUGUGGGGGCGGCUGCUUCGGAGAAGCAGAGCACGGUUUUCUUCUUCCUCUGUCCUCCUUCCGGCUCCCCUUGUCUUCUCAUAGUAAUCCUAGCUCUUACUGGCCACCGCUUACUGCAUGCUUGAGGCUCUCAUCCAUUCUCUUCGCUUCUCGCAAACUGCCAUUUUAAGAAGAGGUCAUUGUACCCUUGUCCUUGGCAAGGACUGGGAUGGCCACUCUCGUACAGUGUAGGCAGAGCAGCGGUUGUCACGUCGGAUAGAAUAUUCAGAAGUCGGAAUUCCAAAAGGAAAGGAGGUGGGAUGACUGGGGGAUGACUAAGAGAUGCGCACCAGCAUCAGCUUCUGGCGUCAUUUACCCUACUGUGAGCCAGCAGGUCUCAGACAGACCAGCAACCCUGAGAGGAAUUCCAUUGCUCUGUCACAGAAUGUUUCUUCCACACAGUUUGCACUGGGCAGGCGCCUCACUUCCUAUUUGUACUAAAUUCUAGCAUCCCCCAUGCUGCAUCCUUCAAGUGAUUUUUUUUGUUGUUGUUAUUGUGUUGCUAAUUACAAUGAAGAAUAAUGCCAACUCACUGUGUGGAAAUCACAAAAAGAAUGUUCCUUUAGGAAUCCCAUGGUGGUGUUUUGUUUUUUGUUUUGUUUCCAACUCUAUAUCCUUCUCUUUCCAAAGGAGAAUAGGUCAGGUACUUGGGAGUCACCCAGCCUCUAAAAUGUAUGUCUUAGUUCUGUCCCUUUUGAGAUCUGUGGGCAGAACACAAAGCCAGCUGCCAGAGCCCGCCGGCACUGCCUACCAGGGUUCAACCUAGGAAGCAUGAACACCAUUCUCACCCAAAGGCAGAUUGCAGAGACAUCAGUAACGCUUCCCCCUCGUCGAAGCUCCCUUCUGAAUCUCUAGGAAGCAUAAAAAAUGCUUCAGAGCUUCAUUCUGGUCACUUGGCCCCUUUGCAGAGCAGGCAGACGACAGCGCAGAGAUAAUCAUAGGAAAUAACAAUAACUACUUUUUAUAGAGCACUUGCUAAGUGACAGCCGCUGCACAACAUACUUUCUAAGAUUAUACCGUGUGGUCCUCCUAGGAAUGCCAAGUAAAAAGUCAUAAAAACAAGGCUGGGGAAAUGGCUCCAUGAUUAAAGCACUUGCCGUGCAAUCAUGAAAACUAGAGUUUGUAUUUCCAGAGUCCCUGGAAAUGCUGGAUGGGAGCUGGCAUCCACUUGUAAUUCCAGCACUUGGAAUGUGGAGCUGGGAGGCACUUACAGCAAGCUGGAAAGCCAGGUUAGCUAUCUUGGUGACUUGUUCAACUGAGAGACUCUGCCUCAAUGAGCAGGCUGGAGAGCAACUGGUGAAGAGUGCUGAUGUCAGCCUCUGGCCUCUCCAUGCACAUGAACACGCAUGUACACCCCCCCACACACACACACAUGCAUGCACCUACACACAUGCCAGCACACAUGCACAUG